GUAAAACACAAACAAGUGCACGCGCGAAUCACCCUGCUGACGUAAAUGAUCCGUUUUUGGAGUUUUAAUGAUUUUGGGUAUUGAUCAGGAAAGGAAAUUCGCUGAGCAAAUUUGGUGUAAAGACGAAACUGAAGAAAAGCUGCACCAGUUCAAGGAUUGAUGUGAAGAAAGAGUUGGAUGAUGAAAUUUAUUCAGGUGAAAGCGUCCUUCAUUCCUCUUCUCCUCGUCACUCCUCGUCCUCCUCUACGUUCACCCGCCACGUCAUGCCCGCAUGGACGUGACAGAAAGACCUGACCCACAUUUGGACGGCACCUGACGCAGCCCCGCUGAGAUCGGAGGAGCCGCGACUCGCCGGGAGGACGCCGCCAGCUUCCUUGUCCCUGGCCUUCCAUGGCUUCAUUCAGCAGGGUCCCGACCCCUGCCUCUCAGUCCCGUG
ensembl:lncRNA